rnacentral:rRNA from 1 species
AUUGAACGCUGGCGGCAUGCCUUACACAUGCAAGUCGAACGGCAGCACGGGGGCAACCCUGGUGGCGAGUGGCGAACGGGUGAGUAAUGCAUCGGAACGUGCCCAGUAGUGGGGGAUAACUAGUCGAAAGAUUAGCUAAUACCGCAUACGACCUAUGGGUGAAAGCGGGGGAUUCGCAAGAACCUCGCGCUAUCGGAGCGGCCGAUGUCUGAUUAGCUAGNGGGCGGGGUAAGGCCCACCAAGGCUUCGAUCAGUAGCUGGUCUGAGAGGACGACCAGCCACACUGGGACUGAGACACGGCCCAGACUCCUACGGGAGGCAGCAGUGGGGAAUUUUGGACAAUGGGCGCAAGCCUGAUCCAGCCAUGCCGCG